AACGAACGCUGGCGGCAGGCUUAACACAUGCAAGUCGAGCGCCCCGCAAGGGGAGCGGCAGCCGGGUGAGUAACGCGUGGGAACGUACCCUUUGCUACGGAAUAGCUCCGGGAAACUGGAAUUAAUACCGUAUGAGCCCUACGGGGGAAAGAUUUAUCGGCAAAGGAUCGGCCGGCGUUGGAUUAGCUAGUUGGUGGGGUAAUGGCUUACCAAGGCGACGAUCCAUAGCUGGUCUGAGAGGAUGAUCAGCCACAUUGGGACUGAGACACGGCCCAAACUCCUACGGGAGGCAGCAGUGGGGAAUAUUGGACAAUGGGCGCAAGCCUGAUCCAGCCAUGCCGCGUGAGUGAUGAAGGCCUUAGGGUUGUAAAGCUCUUUCACCGGAGAAGAUAAUGACGGUAUCCGGAGAAGAAGCCCCGGCUAACUUCGUGCCAGCCGCCGCAGUAAAAC
rnacentral:rRNA from 1 species